UACAGGGGGGGCAAGCGGUUGUUCGGAAUUACUGGGCGUAAAGGGUCUGUUAGGGUUGGCCAAGCUAAGUCAGACGUGAAAUCCCUCAGCUUAACUGGGGAAACGUGCGUCUCGAUACUGGAUGGCUUGAGUGUUGGGAGAGGAAUGCGGAAUUCCAGGUGUAGCGGUGAAAUGCGUAGAUAUCUGGAAGGAACACCGGUGGCGAAGGCGGCAUUCUGGACCAUAACUGACACUGAGAGACGAAAGCCAGGGGAGCAAACGGG
rnacentral:rRNA from 1 species